AUUGAACGCUGGCGGCAGGCCUAACACAUGCAAGUCGAACGAGUGGCGGACGGGUGAGUAAGGUAUGGGAAACUGCCUGAUGGAGGGGGAUAACUAAUGGAAACGGUAGCUAAUACCGCAUACAAUACCAUGUGCCCAGAUGGGAUUAGCUUGUUGGUGGGGUCACGGAUGACCAAGGCGACGAUCCCUUGCUGGUCUGAGAGGAUGACCAGCCACACUGGAACGGAGACAUGGUCCAGACUCCUACGGGAGGCAGCAGUGGGUAAUAUUGCACAAUGGGCGCAAGCCUGAUGCAGCCAUGCCGCGUGUAUGAAGAAGGCCUUCGGGUUGUAAAGUCCUUUCAGCGGGGAGGCGUUACCCGCAGAAGAAGCACCGGCUAACUCCGUGCCAGCAGCCGCGGUAAUAC
rnacentral:rRNA from 1 species